UACGUAGGGGGCAAGCGUUGUCCGGAUUUAUUGGGCGUAAAGAGCGUGUAGGCGGCCAUGUAGGUCCGUUGUGAAAACUCGAGGCUCAACCUCGAGACGCCGAUGGAAACCAUGUGGCUAGAGUCCGGAAGAGGAGAGUGGAAUUCCUGGUGUAGCGGUGAAAUGCGUAGAUAUCAGGAGGAACACCUGCGGUGUAGACGGCUUACUGGACCACGACUGACACUGAAACUCGAAAGUGUGGGGAGCAAACAGG
rnacentral:rRNA from 1 species